rnacentral:rRNA from 1 species
AUUGAACGCUGGCGGCAGGCCUAACACAUGCAAGUCGGGCGAGGGGCGGACGGGUGAGAAAUGUAUGGGGAUCUGCCUGAUGGAGGGGGAUAACUCCUGGAACCGGUAGCUAAUACCGCAUACCAUCAGAUGAUCCAUUAUGGGAUUAGCUUGUAGGUAGGGUAACGGCUCACCAAGGCCACGAUCCCUAGCUGGUCUGAGAGGAUGAACAGCCACACUGGGACUGAGACACGGCCCAGACUCCUACGGGAGGCAGCAGUGGGGAAUAUUGCACAAUGGGCGCAAGCCUGAUGCAGCCAUGCCGCGUGUAUGAAGAAGGCCUUCGGGUUGUAAAGUACUUUCAGUCGGGAGGCGGUACCGACAGAAGAAGCACCGGCUAACUCCGUGCCAGCCGCCGCGGUAAUAC